ensembl:snRNA U6 U6 spliceosomal RNA
GUGGUAGUUAGAGCAGCACGUGUAAUAAAAUUGGAACAAUACAUAGAAGAUUAGCAUGGCCCCUGUACAAGGGCACAGAGGCUAAGCCACUGUAAAAAGUAACACAGUUGC